UUUGACUUUUCCUGCGUGUCCCUUUCCUUCUCAAACCUGCUCUUCCUCCCCCUAUCUACCUUCCCUGGGAGGUGACCUCAUGGCCUGCAGCCAAUCUGAUGUUCCCAGGUUUACCUCCUCCACCAGCUCCCUCUGCUGCCAGAGCGGCCCUUUUCCAUGCUGAUGUGACCUUGACCUUCUACAGAAUCCUCUGACAUUCAAGGCCAGGCACAAAACCCCACCUGGGCUCUGAACACUCCACUGUGUGCAGGGCUCCCUGCAGGGACGUCAGCCUCCUGGUAUCUGCUGGCACCUGCCCUCCUGUCCUGCUCCACCUCCUGCCUGAGGGUGCUGCUGUGAGCAGGGUGCUGGAGAGGCCCUCGCGUCCAGCACAGGAAACUCGUUGUCCUCCUGUCUCCUGGUGCCAAGCCCCUGCACUCCCUCCUGCCUGGGGCUCUCUAUUUUAGAGCUGCUCUGGCCCAUUGCAUCUCCAGAUAAAAUCCCUGCUUCUCUUGGCUGGGCACAGGGAUCAGUCUCCUGGCUGAGCAAGUGUAGUUGGGAGCUUCCUGCCUCUUUCAUGAUGUCUUUUUGUGCUCAGUGUCCUGCCUCCCCUUUAGUGACACUUGGAGUCUCUAAUCCCGGAAUCUUCUAGGGUUUUUAGACGGCAGAUGAACUUAUUUAUCAUGGGCAUCCCUUGCACGGGGCGCUUAAGGCAAGUGUUCUCAGAUUUGCUAACUCCCUUGGUCUGACUUCAUUUUUCUUAUCUGUAAAAUAAUAGAAAUUUUACCUUAUUUUCAAUUCCAUUAAAAGAG
rnacentral:lncRNA from 1 species